AUACGGAGGGAGCUAGCGUUGUUCGGAAUUAUUGGGCGUUAAAGCGCGCGUAGGCGGCUUUUUAAGUCAGAGGUGAAAGCCCGGGGCUCAACCCCGGAAUUGCCUUUGAAACUGGAAAGCUAGAAUCUUGGAGAGGUCAGUGGAAUUCCGAGUGUAGAGGUGAAAUUCGUAGAUAUUCGGAAGAACACCAGUGGCGAAGGCGACUGACUGGACAAGUAUUGACGCUGAGGUGCGAAAGCGU
rnacentral:rRNA from 1 species